rnacentral:lncRNA from 1 species
AGUCUGCGGAAAAAAUGCUUCCAUAUGAGGAGAAUGUAUUAGUCUUCCAGGGCUGCCUUAACAAAACACCACAGACGGGGCUUAAACAACAGAAGCUCAUUUUCCCACAGUCCUGGAGGCUGGAAUUCACAGAUCAAGGUCUGGCAGGGCUGAUUCUGGGUAGAACCUCUGUGUGGCUUGCAGAUGGCUGCUGUUGGGCUGUGUGAUCUCAUGGGCUCCUUCCUGUGUGUGUGUGGAGGGAGACAGAGCAAACUCUUUGGUGUCUGUUCUUAUAAGGACACUAGUCCUAUUGGAUCAGGGCCUUAUCCUCAUGACCUCAUUUAACCUCAGUUAAUUCCUUAGAGGCACCAUAUCCAAAUACAGCCACACUGGGGCUUAGGGAUUCAGCAUAGGAAUUGGGGCGCAGACAGAAUCAUCCAGUCAGUGACAAAGAGUAAUGGUCAUGAUAUGAAAAUAGCUUCCCAUGCUCUUGAUUUGAGUGGGGGUUAAAGAACCCUUUCUCCACUCCUUGGGUUGAUGGAUAAAAAGGAAUAUGCGCAGGAUCUCAAUUUCUAUUCCCCACUCUGUCCAAGCUUCAACCACUUUUUGUUUGUUUGUUUGUCAAAGACCCCAAACUGUGGUUUUCACCAGUGGCAUCUCUGACUUUUGAUGUCAAGAUCCCUCCAAACCUAAUGAAGAUUUAAAAAUAUAUCUAAUGUCAGCAUGUUGAGCAGAAUGCUGCCUAUGUGCCCUGUAUCCCCAGAGUCAGAAGAAUAAACAUAUUUUUGUGACUUGUUCAUAUUUAAUUUUAAAAAAGAUAAAAUCACAGGCCCUGAAAAUAGAUAAAUUUAUAAGCUAUCAAAAAUAAAAUGUUAACUCAUGACAAAGCAAUGCAAAUGUUUAUGCCAAAGCCAAAUAUUCAUUAUUUUAUCCCCUCAUCUUUCCGUCUCUCUGUCUCUCUCUCUCUCUCUCUAUCAAGGUCCGGCAGGGCUGAAUAUACACACACAUCUCCAGUAUGUGUGGAAAUACAUCAAAUAAGUCUACAGUCUUUUUAGUUGAUUCACAACAUAUAUACAAACCAAUCCAAACCAACUACUGUGAUUCAACUCCAGGACUAGAAGGCAGAUGUUCAAAUCAGCUGGGAACACAGGAGGCAAACACAAGAUUCCUGGAGUUCCAUGUGGUUUCAGCGAGAGAGGCAGCGUCCUCGGCGUGGGUGAGUUUUGUGUGCAGGGCGGGAGGCCCCCCUGAGCAUCGUUCCUGCAUUUCAGGAUGGAUUCUAAGCGCUCGCUCCUGGCAUUCCUUGGACUCCAGGUUUACCACCAUUGUCUUUAUUUUAGUGUCAAUCUAAAGCCUGUCCUGCAAGCUGACUGUACCCUGGGUCCACCCAGUCUCAUUGCUCAGCCCCAGACUCUCCUCUCCUCUUGACUCGCUCGACUCUCUGUCUUCAUGAAAGUAGCACCAGAGCCAGUGUCGUCUGAAAGAAUGGGGUCAAGGCUAUGAGAAAAUCAAGGCUCUCUUCCUUUCCAAACUGUGAGCUUGGUGGAAUUCUUUUAUAUUUCCUGCUAAUCUCAGUUUACUCAUCUGUAAAAGGGGGAUAGUUGAUCUUAAUACAAGGUUUUGUGCAGAUUGAAUGAAACAAUGUACACAGUUUCUAGCAUAAAGUACACAAUGUGUGUGACAUCUGGUUCUUAGCCAUGACCCUCCCAGGUAACAUACCCCCAGCUGGAAACUACCAGAAUCCAAAGUCUGUUCCAUUACUCUCAGUAGCCUUCUGCCUACUCUUGAAAAGAUCUGACAUAUGUAGAGGUUAUGGUGCCUUAUAAUCUCUCUCUCAGAACCAAGGUGCUGAAUCCUCAGUCCUUGUGAAAUGGUCUUUGUGAGUCUUUACUUCUUAGCUACUCCUUUCUCUGGAUUUCUUUCUUUUUUUUGAAGCUUCUUUGUUUGAUGCCUUCUCUUUGGCUAUUUUUUCAGAUCUGUUUCCUAUCUAAGAAGUUGGGGUUUCAUUGUAUUUGGAGGGUCUUCUCCCCUAAGAAACUCAGUACAAACUAAUGAGAGGGUGUAACCAUCAAAGACAAAUUCAUACUGGUCCUAUUGUAACAGUAAUAAAACAUCAAAGUUAUCUUGCA